rnacentral:rRNA from 1 species
CAUAGUCUGUUGAGUAUAAUAGAUGAACUCUGCUCAAUGAUUUUAAUAGCCGCAGUAAACUGACUGUGCUAAGGUAGCAUAAUAAUUUGUCCUCUAAUUAGGGUCUGGAAUGAAUGGAACAUAUAUAGCCUGUCUCAAUUACAUUUAUUUAAUUUACUUAGCAGGUGAAAAUACCCGCUUUUUUUGAUAGACGAGAAGACCCUUAGAAUUUUUAUUAUUUUCGUUGGGGCGACGUGUAUUCAAUUAACUUAAUUUUAUAACACAUGUCCAGUAAGAUUAAAUUACCUGAGGGAUAACAGCAUAAAAAUAAGUUUAUGACCUCGAUGUUGGACUAGGAUAUAAUGGUCAGAAACCAUUAUUGUUCUGUUCGAAC